UCCUGUGCUGGCUCACCGCCGGAUUCCUCCAACUAAAAAUCCCGACCGUGUCGAUGCGAAGAGCCAGGCCGAGAUGGACAAGGCUUCUGGCGCUCCUCCUCCGCCGCUAUCCCCUGCAUCUGUAAGGUGGGAGAUCCUUCGCCACUCGAUCCUCUCUCGCGCUUCUUCCGGACCUGGCAGAUCUGACCUUCAAGAACUUCUUCAAAGUAUCCCCCGCCAAAAAAAAGCAUAGCGGACGGCUUCUUGUAAUGACAAAAUAUUAGUGUGUGGAGUUUAAAAUUGUCAAGAUGUCUAUUGAUCAUUUCAAAUCUUGCCCAAAUGUUCCAAGGUCUGAAGUCCUAGGCAAUAGCUUUCAUGCCAUUGACACUUCAGCUAUGCUGGCAUGCCCUAAGAGAGAUGAUUCACCGGACAAGUUUCUAGAAAAGAAGAUAAGAGGCUAGAUUGCAAUAUGAAUGAGUUGAGAAUUAAGAAAGCUGAGUAUGGAAUCUUCAUCAGAAUUUCCUAAAAGGUAACAUCUCUUGGCCUAACUAUCACAAAGAUCACUGCUACCCUUUUGGUGAAUAUCACUAUUUCUAAACCUUAGCAACCCUGUCAUUAAACGUUGUCAUGUCAUUUCCAAUGUCAGUACAAGGUUUGUGAUGAAAGUUAUGUUCUUCAUUGUGUCUUUUAUUCAGCAAAACAAGUCUAUUAAAUUUAAGAUUUCUUUUGUAAUAUUUGACUCCUUAUUUUCUUAUUCUUGAUAUGAUUCUUUGUUCAGAUAAGAUCAGCAUGUAAACAUUAUUAUUCGCACCAUAAGCAUGUUAAUUUUGCUUGGCGUGGAUAACAGUAUGAGAUCUCAUCCAGCUGGAAGAGAAAUGUUAGAAAUAUUAAUAUUGGAAUUGCUAUAUUAGGUUCACAUUUCUUAAAAUCUUGUACUGCACAUCGCAUGAGGUACUGAAGUCCUAGUUGUAUGUUGAUGACUCUAUUUCAUGCCAAAGUCGAAUUUAGAGUUCCUUGCUGUUACUUCUAUUGCUGCUUGUAUAUAAAGAGAGGGCAACUCCCAUGCGGUACCUAUAGCUCUUGAUUUAGCUGGAAUCACAAUUUGCCACUCUGGGAAGCUUAGUGUUGUGCCUGUCUGUAAUUCUACUCAUUAUUACAUAUACAUCUUUCUAGAGUA